AGUGAACGCUGGCGGUAGGCCUAACACAUGCAAGUCGAACGGCAGCACAGUAAGAGCUUGCUCUUACGGGUGGCGAGUGGCGGACGGGUGAGGAAUACAUCGGACUCUACUUUUUCGUGGGGGAUAACGUAGGGAAACUUACGCUAAUACCGCAUACGACCUACGGGUGAAAGCAGGGGAUCUUCGGACCUUGCGCGAUUGAAUGAGCCGAUGUCGGAUUAGCUAGUUGGCGGGGUAAAGGCCCACCAAGGCGACGAUCCGUAGCUGGUCUGAGAGGAUGAUCAGCCACACUGGAACUGAGACACGGUCCAGACUCCUACGGGAGGCAGCAGUGGGGAAUAUUGGACAAUGGGCGCAAGCCUGAUCCAGCCAUACCGCGUGGGUGAAGAAGGCCUUCGGGUUGUAAAGCCCUUUUGUUGGGGAAGAAAAGCAGCAGGUUAAUACCCCGCUGUUCUGACGUUACCCAAAGAAUAAGCACCGGCUAACUUCGUG
rnacentral:rRNA from 1 species